rnacentral:rRNA from 1 species
AGUUUCACUCCAACCCCUGUGAACAUACCAUUUUGUUGCCUCGGCGGUGCCUGUUCCGACAGCCCGCCAGAGGACCCCAAACCCAAACUUCCUUGAGUGAGUCUUCUGAGUAACCGAUUAAAUCAAUCAAAACUUUCAACAACGGAUCUCUUGGUUCUGGCAUCGAUGAAGAACGCAGCGAAAUGCGAUAAGUAAUGUGAAUUGCAGAAUUCAGUGAAUCAUCGAAUCUUUGAACGCACAUUGCGCCCGCCAGUAUUCUGGCGGGCAUGCCUGUUCGAGCGUCAUUACAUCCCUCAAGCCCCCGGGCUUGGUGUUGGGGAUCGGCGAGCCUCAGCGCCCGCCGUCCCCUAAAUUUAGUGGCGGUCACGCUGUAACUUCCUCUGCGUAGUAGCACACUUAGCACUGGGAAACAGCGCGGCCACGCCGUAAAACCCCCCAACUUUUGAACGUUUGACCUCGAAUCAGGUAGGACUACCCGCUGAACUUAAGCAUAUCAAUAAGCGGAGGAA